GACGAAAUAGUUCAGUGGUAGAACGGCGGGAUCAUAAUCCGUAUGUCGUAGGUUCAAAUCCUACUUUCGUUA
rnacentral:tRNA from 1 species